GCGCUCAUGAGGGCAUGGUCCUGUCCAUGUGGUCUGGACCUACCCUCCACGAGCAAGAAAAACAGAACUGGUUUGGGGGUGUCCCAUCUGUGUGGACAUGGGACACCAUGGUUUUCAGUACAACA
rnacentral:snoRNA from 13 species